AUGGGCAGGCCUUUUGGUGAGUUUCUUCUGCAGGUUAAUGGCAUUUUAGGGUUAAGGCUUCAGCAGGCUUCUGGUUGUUAUGGUUUGGAAAUUAGUAUUUGGUUUUUUGUUUGUGCAUAUGCAGGUCUGAGGCUUUUGAGGCUGAGGCAGUUUAUGCUGUUUAAACUUGAUGGUUGGUUUGCAAAUAGUGCUUGCAGACCUGAGCUUUUAGCAGGUUCUGAGUUUUGA